ensembl:lncRNA
CUCGGGGUCUAACCAGAGAAGCCAAUAGAAUAACACUUCACGUUCCCUCGUCUCGAGUCAUUGAUCUGCUUUUUUAAUGGCUUUUUGAUUAGAUGCCUGAAAUAAGUCUGUGGGUAACACAGGAUCAUGUCCACAUAGCGCCCUUUUCUCGGGGGCCAGUGUUUGUUCCCAAUGAGGACCGAGCGUAUGUCUUUUUACUGAGUGCACCGCUCUCACCGCUUCAAAUUAGAAAAAAGCUCUCAUCUUUUCACUGAAAUGCACAGAAGCAAUUCUAGUCAACCAUUAAGUCGUUAGAGAUAUGUGGUAUGUGGUCGUCAUGGAAACAUAGGAAGGAGGAAUUAAGCGUUGCAUGAAUUCCAAAAUGAACACACAGAGGUUGCCGCGUAAAACAUCAGACGACAUAUGAAAGAGGCCCAAGUCAGAGUCAAAAAUGUACAAUUCUAUUUGAUUUGUGUGGUUUAUAAUCUUAUGAAAAAAAAGAGAUGUCACAAAGUAAUUGUAUUUCGGCCCCUUUAACCUGCACUGUGAAUACCGCAUGCUGUCGCCUGCCAGUAGCUACAGAUAAGGCCCAUUAAUUACUCCUCUCAUCUUAUUCCACAAAAGAAGACACAUAUGUGUAUUUUAUAUAUUGUCCAUCCUGAGGGGAUUCCUGUACACUAGCAGAUCAAAGCGUGUUAUCUAAAUCAGUCUCAACGUCGAGCUCAUUCAUGCCUCUUAGGUAGGUCACGAUAUGUAGAAGCAACGACCUUGGAGCCCCGGUUCCUCCGGGGCAUUCUGCUGAGAAAUGUGAGACUCAGAGCACUUACUGUCAUUGAGCCGUCCUGACUACACAAACAGUUCUCAUGCUCCCUGCAGUUGAUUGCUAAACUACAGACAUAAUAAUUGGUCCAAUAAUUGCAGAUCAGAGCUUCACUGUUGUAGAAACAUUUCACAGGAUAUUAACUACUCAGGAGGCAAAAUGAGUCAGUCAUGUGACGAGGACGAGGCUUUGUUUUGUAAUGAGUGGACUGAAAUUGUAUUUUUUUUUAAAGAGUUUGAGGAGAAAGAAAAUGAGGUAUAAUGACGUGGUAGAAGUAUCUACGACCGUCAUGAAUGAAUGACGGUAACAGUCGGACCACAUAUCCUUUCCUGCUCGGCAUGUUUGCUUAUUAGCUCAUUUGUGAAGACAACAACGACAAAGGGAUCCCGGGAUGAACAGGAUAAAAAGCCUCUACUUUCUGCCAAAUAUUACAACGCAACUCUGUGUGGCUUACUUCUAGCGGUAGUGGAGCGGAUUAGAGAUCUCUCAACAUUUGUACAACUCUCGGAUCCAAAUGAAGGACCUUUGGCCGGAGGGGAUUUGCUGAGCGGCGCUCAGAUUGUCAUCACACUCACUUUGGGGGCCUGCGAACCAAUUAGAUGAGGUUGCCGGGUGGGCUUCCAGUGGGAGAGGAGGCACAGGCGUGUGAUGUACAGUAUUUAACACUGUGACACGACGAGAUCCUCGUUGCACGCGCGGCCUGUAGGGUCACGGACGGAACCCCGGUGAUGCAGCGUGAGACGCCUACACUGUAAAAAAAAAAAAUGUUGAAAAUACGGUAAAAUACUGACACCGUAAAAAUGACGGCGUCAACGUGUAAGACAUCACGGUAUGUAUUUUUAUAAAUGUACAUUUCAGAGUUCAUGAGUGUUAAAAAAGGUUGUUUCUAAAAAAACAUUUUCUGAAGUACUUUUACAGAACUGUUGCAAAAAAAGGAAAAUACAAUACACUGUCCUGUUUUUAAGUUGUAUUGCAUUUGAAUAAGUGAGUCCUGUAUAUACCUGAGGAAUAUUU